AAUGGAUACCUGCAGGGUUGUGUUACUUUUUCUUUUAUUUGGUUUUAUCUGCCUUUUUUCCAUUACAGACGGUUACGAGACUUGUUACUCUGAUAGCCAAUGUCCAUAUUCAAGUUACCAUUGCUGCACUGGUACAAUAUAUUGCUGUCCGUGGGGUAGUGUCUGUACAGGGACCAUCAACUGUAUCAGUAUUGAGACAAUUGUUGGUCCUAUUGUCGGGGGUGUGGUCUUUAUCGUUAGCUGCGUUAUCUGCAUUAUUUGCUAUA